rnacentral:rRNA from 1 species
AGCGAACGCUGGCGGCAGGCUUAACACAUGCAAGUCGAGCGGGCACUUUCGGGUGUCAGCGGCGGACGGGUGAGUAACGCGUGGGAACGUGCCCUCUGGUUCGGAAUAACUCAGGGAAACUUGAGCUAAUACCGGAUACGCCCUUUUGGGGAAAGGCUUGCUGCCGGAGGAUCGGCCCGCGUCUGAUUAGCUAGUUGGUGAGGUAACGGCUCACCAAGGCGACGAUCAGUAGCUGGUCUGAGAGGAUGAUCAGCCACACUGGGACUGGGACACGGCCCAGACUCCUACGGGAGGGAGCAGUGGGGAAUAUUGGACAAUGGGCGCAAGCCUGAUCCAGCCAUGCCGCGUGAGUGAUGAAGGCCUUAGGGUUGUAAAGCUCUUUUAUCCGGGACGAUAAUGACGGUACCGGAGGAAUAAGCCCCGGCUAACUUCGUG